UUUAUUGUCCCAUACAAGAAUAUAUAUGGCUUAGGGGUGGGGAUCUCGACCGUUUACAAGUUUGCAAACAGAAGCUGAUGGGGGUGACCCCAAAGGACUCCCCAACUAGUUAAUUAUAUAUGUUUUAUUGACCCAUACAAGAAUAUAUAUGGUUUAGGGGUGGGGAUCUCGACCGUUUACGAGUUUGCAAACAGAAGGGUUUUGGGGUGACCCCCAUGGACUCCCCAAAUAGUUCAUUAGAUUUGUUUUACUGUCCCAUACAAGAAUAUAUAUGGUUAAGGGGUGGGAAUCUCGACCGUUUACAAGUUUGCAAACAGAAGGGGGUGGGGGUGACCACCAUGGACUCCCCAAAUAGUUCAUUAGGUUUGUUUUAUUGUCCCAUACAAGAAUAUAUAUGGUUUAGGGGUGGGAAUAUCAACCAUUUACGAGUGUGCAUAAAAAAGGGGGUGGGACUGACCACCAUGGACUCCCCAAAUAGUUCAUUAGAUUUGUUUUAUUGUCCCAUACAAGGAUAUAUAUGGUUUAGGGGUGGGGAUCUCGGCAGAUUACAAGUUUGCAAACAGAAUGGGGUGGGGGUGACCCCCAGGGACUUCCCAAAUAGUUCAUUAGAUUUGUUUUAUUGUCCCAUACGAGAAUAUACAUGGUUUAGGGGUGGGGAUCUCCACUGUAUACAAGUUUGCAAACAGAAGGGGCUUCCCUUUAAUUUCAAUAGAUUUGUUUUAUUGUUCCAUUCAAGAAUAUAUAUGGUUUAGGGCUGGGGAUCUGAACUGUUAACAAGAUAAAAGCACAUUCUGAAAUUGAACGGGUGGGGGUGACCCCCAAGGACUUCCCUUUAAUUUCAUUUGAUUUGUUUUAUCGUUCCAUACAAGAAUAUGGUAGGGGGGGAUCUUCCAUACAAGAAUAUAUAUGGUAUAGGGGUGGGGAUCUGGACCAUUUACAAGAUAAUAGCCCCCUCCCCCCCCACCGGACUUUCAUGUCAUUUGUUUAUUGUCCUUUGAUCAUUUCUGAAGACUGCAUGUGUCUAUCACUUACAGUUUUCAAGUUAUAUUCAUUUGAAAAUUUUAGAAAAUAAAAUCCCAUAGGGUUCUAUAGGAAACACCUCCCGUCUUCCUUCCCCCGAAAAUACCCCUUAAUAGACCCCAAUGCACAAACGAAAGAUUGAUGGAUCACCUAGACAUAUUAGUAAUAUUCUAUGAAACCCUAAGUUAAUCUGACCAGCGGUUUUGGAGAAACGCUGCAGACAAGUUCAUUUUUAAAGUGGCAGAAAAAAAAGAAAAGAAAAAGAAAAAAAAAAGAAUAAUAAAAAUAAUAAGAACUGAGCAAAAACAAUAAGUCCCUAAACUUUGUUUGGGAGACUUAAUAAAAAACCAUGACCCACAUUUAGUAAUUAAACUUCCCUUCCUUCCCUCCCACAAACAUUCAAAUGGAUUAGCCCUAUAGGAAUUUGAUCUAAAAAUGAAUACAAUAUCCAAUGUUAAUAUACAAGUUUGAUGACCAAAACAUUUAGAACUACAUAACUGUGUGUCAACAUCCUUCUACCAAGCAAAGGCUGCAACUUAAAAUUAAAUAACUGAAUACACACUAUUAUAUAAUCUUUGACAUAAUGAAUGAAAUAACAACUAACUAAAUAUAAAGCUGACGUCAGCAAUACAUUUUUUACAAGAUCAUCACUGAAAUUUGGCUUACUCUAAAUUAAAUACUGUGGACUCAUUUAUUUUUGUGUGUUCCAAUUUUUCAUGAAUUAAGGAAUUCUUGCAUUUUCUUGAAUAUUUGAUUGAAAAAAAUUUGCCAAAGCCUGCAUUAAUCCAAUAGAAAAUUAGCAAUUCAUUGAGCAUUAAAAUUUGUGUUCAACUGUUUGCAUAAAAUCCAUGAAAUUUGUUAUCUCAAGAAUAAUAAUAAAUUCACAGUAAUAUACUUUCUUAUCAUUAAAGCAUUGUGACAAUAAUAAACAAAUAACAGAGCACAUAUAACAACGAUUGAAAACUAUCUUGAACCACAGAAAUGAGGCAGUUGUGUGGGACUUAUAUGUUGGACAUUGUCAUCAGCAAAUGUAAUUAUAAAGCUUGGAGAGAGGAGGGUUUUUAUAAACAAAUAAAUCUAAUAUUGAUCAUAUGCUAAAAUGGCACAAUGAAUACAGCUCUAGUAUUUUAUGUUGAUAUAUUUUUUGUAAAAGUAGCUGCCGUUCAUGACAUUUUCCAUCACUUUGAAGAAAAAAAAAUGAAUGAUUUAUAUCAUAAGUGUUUGAUAACAAAAUUUAAUAAAUGACUUGUGGUGUCAAGCAGGAUAAUUUUGGUUCAUGCAAUUUCAGCAUUUUUUGAGAAACUAUUGAGAUUAUCAAUUAAGCUAUUUCUGUUGUCUAUUAUGCAUACAUACUACAAUGAAGUUGUCACAUUUCAGAACUUGUUAUAUAAAUAUAAAGCAAAAUAUAUAUAAAAUUCUUUCAUUGUUUUAUUUCCAAGUGUGUGAUUAUUAUGCAUAAAUUUCAUUUUUCACCACACACAAAACUCAACUCAUUCUAUUCAUGUACAUACAAAUUGUGAUUCAGCACAAAUGAUAAUACAUCAAAAUGUAAUGGUAUAAUAUUGUGUAUAUAUAAAACUUAUAAAAUAUAAUAAAAUUGUGAAU
rnacentral:lncRNA from 1 species